rnacentral:lncRNA from 10 species
CUAGAAGCAGGUAUCAGGAAGGAAAACGGCCGUCUUCAAGCCAAAGCGGCCCGGACUGGAGGCUGAGCGCCUAACGCAGUGAGGAUCAAUAUGGAUCUAUGAACUUAAAAAAAAAAGGGAGAGAGAUGUGGAGUUAAAACAACAACAAAAACAUCACUCUUCAGUGGCUGCCACAACUCCUGCUUCUGCUUUCCCAUUCGCUGCCAAGGACAGGCAACCUCAGCGAUGUACCGAGUGAGACGCUGGGCAGGCGUGAAAGGUGAGGUGUGUUCUUCAGCUCCUUGAAACCAGGCAGACCUUUUGAUAUGCUGAGACCAGUAGCAUGUGGUGGAAGGGCCAUGUGGAGAAGAGUCAGGUGCCUCAAACAACAGACAGCACAGACUGCCAGAGGAGCGAGUGAAGCCAGCCCGGACGCUCUACUUACUGCAAGCCAUCAGGUCACUGCAGCUGCAUGUGUGAACCCAAGUUAGACCAGCAGGACUGCCUGGAUUGCCAGUGCGUAAAAUUAUGCAAAAGAACCAAUGAUUGCUGUUUUAUGCCACGAUUUUGGAGGACCUUGUAACAAGAACAAUAAAUAACUGACACAGGUGUUCAAGGCUGCAGUGAGCUAUAACUGCACCACCGCAGUCCAACCUGGGUGACAGAGCAAGGGAGCCUGUCUCAAAAAAAUAAAAUAAAUUACUGACAUAUGCUUAUUAUUUUUAAAAUAAUUUUCUUUUGACUUAAUUCUUCAGUUCAGCUUGCUUAUAUGGAUAAUAUCAAAAUGAAUCACUUUAAUUUUCUACUAUGGAUUAUAGUUAAGAGCUUGUCAAAAAUAGACCAGAUACCUCUACAACAGCAGCAUUUAUUCAGGUCAUGGUACCUGCAUGGGCAACUGAGAUCCAUCGUCUGGUCCCAGGUUUUGUAUGUCAGGUUACAGGACGGAUUCACAACAUUCAAUCUCACAAAACAUUAACGUUCUAUUUAGAAUGGUCCAUUUCUUAAAAAUUAAAGUAAUGCUGCAACGUAGGCAAGAUUUUUCAUCUCUUCAGCAGAAAACCCUGACCUAUGUUGGUAACCUAAAUGAAAAGUGAAAAUAUUUCGAGAUAUAAAUGAUAAUUUGGAUGCUAUUAUACUAUCACAGGAUCCUGAUGCCCCUUAUCAGUGAUAAACAAUGGAACCUGAUAGUGCAUCCCAGCAGAUAGGACCUCUUCCACACUGCACAGUGUUAGAGAUGCAACGAGAGGCUCCAGGCCAGGUGCAGUGGCUCAAACCUGUAAUCUCAGCAGUUUGGGAGGCUGAGGUGGGUGGAUUGCUUUAGGCCAGGAGCUUGAGAUGGGCGUGGCCAACAUAGUGAAACCCCGUCUCUACUAAAAAUACAAAACUUGGCCCAGUGUAGUGGCACGCGCCUGUAGUCCCAGUGACUCAGGAAGCUGAGGCACAAGAAUCGCUUGAACCCAGGAGGCAGAAUCUAUAGUGAGCCGUGAUCAUGCCACUGCACUCCAGCCUGGGCAACAGAAUGAGACUCCAUUUCAAAAAAAAAAAAAAAAAUAGACUCUAGUGCUGGUAUUCUAAUUUCUAAGACUCCAUAUGGAAAUAUGGAAAUACCUGUUGAGAGACACCAGCAUUAUAUCACGCUGACAUCAUUGCAUUGUGAUCCGUUUUUCCUGGCUCUGCACUCUUGAUGGAGACUUGAGAAAACUCGCUGGCAGCACAUUUCUCAACAUUCAUAUUUUUGCUUAGGUUAGUACUUUACCAAUCUUAUCCCCAAAUUGUGGCAGAUCACUCUGUCCCUACUAUGUCUCCAGGAAAGCAGCAGAAAUCUCUCAGCCAUUUUUAUAUCUUUGGCACAUCUUCAAAGUUGAUAUAAUUAUUUGCAUUCUUUCUGAUUACGUGAAAACCGAGGCCUUAUUUGUUAUAUUAAGAGUUCAAGUUCCUUAAUAGUAAUACUUUGGCUCAUUGUUUUCUUAUGAAAAUAUAGCUAUAACAUCAUUUUAAAAGAGAUGGGACUUAGAAAGAUUCCGCUCUACUGAUUUUACAGCUGUUUGGUGCAAUACAUAAUUACUGGGUAGCUUUACUCCAGUGGGAAAAUGAUGCUCCAGAUACUGCAUUAAGCAUUUUUCCUCACAAUGAAUGCCUAGUUUACUUUUGCACAUUCUCAAAUUUAUAUACUUCUCCCUCUUCUAUUCCCAUCAAUAAGGCCUUUCCAGCAACUCUCCUCCUACUCCCUUUACCAAAACAAACACAAAUAAAUAAAAUAAUCAGUCAAAAGGAGGCAGGCAUGAGGGUACUUUGUCAGUAUUGUUAUCACCUGGAGUAUUAGUAAACUGCCUCAGUGGUGUGCGAGAUUUCUUUCAAACCUUUGUAUUUUUAAGUGGGACAUGUAAUUAUAUCACGAAAAUGAGAACGGAAACAAAAUUAAAGUUUUAUGCUAUCAUUAUUAAUCAUUCUAGUCAUAAUAUUUAAUUUUCUGUCCCCUAUGACAUGUAUAAUAACUAAGGAAAUAUGCCCCAUUUAAAGGAUUGAAGCCAGUAUCCUCCAUCAUUUGAGGGGAAUUUCCAGCCAAAAUGUUUGAUUGGCACUCAUGAGGACAGGUGCGACCCUGCACCUGGGUCACUAGUUAAUUCCUCUGGAUACUUGUUUGGGUCAAAAUGAGCUCAAGUGAGUAACAGGCACAAAGCCUUCGCUUUCUGUCUCGACCCAACAAGGACCUGUACAGAAGAUGAGUUUUCUCAUCAGCCCAUUCCCAAGUAUCCCACAUAUUCAAUGAGCCAGCAGGUCAUCUCCUGUUCAGCAGUUGAAAAUCACCUCCGAUUCAGCUGACACACAGGAAGUCCAUCAAUGUCCAUUAGCCCAGAACAAGCGUGUCGGUCACAGCAGCUGUCAGUCUAGGCCAAAGAGGUCCUGUCAGGGCCAUUGUUAUUUUUGUCCUGAAGUUAGGUAUGAAAGUUAUGGUCAUGGCAGGUUUUAAUUAUUUGUGUCAACAAAGACAAUGGACAGUCACCCAAACUCAAUAACUCUGUAUUUUAAAAGCUGUAAAGAAAAGCACAUGUGAUAAGCUUAUCAAUAUUUCUGAUAUAUUAUUCAGGUACUUUGGUCCUUGUGUGUCUCUGAUUAGGUGUCGGCUUUUAGAUUAGAUGGAUUGGAUUGAUUAUGGCUUUUGAAAAUUGUUAUUUAUAUUUAGAUAUCUCUAUAUUGGACACGUAGUUGUUUGGAGAAAUGAGUCUAAUACCCAUGUUGAAAGCAGAAACGGGAUAUAACGUUUUUGUUCUGUUUCUAUGAUCUUUUUAUGAACAAGAAUGUUACGCCAACUCUAUUUUUUUGGAGAUAAAUGGGUAUAUGAAAAUAACACCUUCAGCACGUAUUGCCUAACACUCAUUUGUAAUUAUCACGUAUAAUGCCUGGUUGAUUACGGUUUUAACGUCUUUGCAUAUUGUAAGCCCCCAAUGAUGCUGUGACCUACUUGGAUGCAGAGCCUCUUUCACUGUGUCAUUAUGCCUCCAAUAAUACAACUAACAUGAAUAGUAAAGAGCAAUAAAUAGAUAGCUCCCAUCCAUUGAGCUCUUAGUUGCUCGUGGCUUAAUGCUAAACACUUCCCAUAUGUAUCUUAACCCUGAAAAUCAUUCCAUGAGGCAGCAAUUAUUUGUGUCUUUACAGACAAUGGAACAGAAGUGUAUGUAAUUACUAACUUGCUUAUGCUUAUAUUUUGCUAAAAGAAAAGGUUCUCUCCCCCUUUUAGGUGCAUUUGCAAGGCAGCUCUUCGGAACAAGGCACAGGCGUUCUAUUUUUUUAUUAUUAGUAGCAGCAGCAACUGCUGCAACAGCAGUAGCCUUAGUAGCAGUUUGCUGUUUAUAAUCUCCUUUCUCAAUUGGAUUGUUUGCAUCUUGAGGUCCUCUUGCUCAUAUUUGUAUUCUUAACAUCCAUGAGCCACCUCUCAGGUACCACUAAUACAAUGUCGAGGAAUAAAUGGGGAGAAUUGUUAUGAUCUUGAGCCUCGCUCCUAGAGGAUCACUUCUCUGUAAGAGGGAUGUGUAAUUCAGGACUCCCCAGAUGGGAAACCAGUAUGUGUGGAAAUAUUAUAAAGAGGUUUCACUGUAGCGUACGUUGUAAUAAUUUACAACAUUUGUUCAAAUGCAUAUCCUACAUGGUACAGCAAUUACACAGGUAAUAAAUCUUGUAUCUGAAAACACAGAACACAUGAUACCCAGCCUUUUCAUGCACACUUGAUUUCUCCUGAUUUAUUAAUAACUUUCUCGUGUUUAAGUGACUGUCCUUAUUACGCAUUGCUUUGUUUCUCACUGUGGCAUGACCUUAGCUCGACAGUUGCUAAAAUUCUCCCAGGAGACUUUUUAAUGCUACAUUUGCUUAGAAGACAUGUUCUGCCUUGUGGCUAAUGAUAUAGUUGCGUGGUAAGAAAGAAGGAUGAAAGCAGAAACACACAGACAGGACAUUGAGAAGCGGAUUAACAACAAAUACAAAGGAGGGAAACGAAAACCAAUUCAUUCUCUUUUUUUGCACAUAGUUUUAAGCAUAUCAUGACAUUUCGAAAGUAGGAAACAUCCCUACAAAGCUGGAUCAAACACGAUACUAACCCCAACACCACAGUUCUUCAAGUGGCAGGUGGUAAACUAUAACACACCAUUAACACUUUGUAAAAUGUUACUUAAAAUACAAAUGAUAAAGGGACCAAAGGCCCUGGCGUUCUCAGUUUAACUGACUUGUUUACCUUUAUAGUUUAGUCACAUGAUAUUGUUUUUACCAAUGAAUGUAAGUUCUCAUCUUCAUUUCACGCUCAAUCUGU